AUCUUAUUCACUGCGUACAGAAUCAGCCGUCUUAUCAUUCCAUCUUAGCAGACAUGGAGGCCAAACUGAUCGUGGCAGUUGUGUUCGUCUGUGCCGUUUGUCACGUCACUGAAGCCCAGCUGCAGACAACGACAUCACUCGGUACCAACAUCACUCUUACUGGUUGUGGCAGCACUAAGCUGUGUGUGUCGACUCCAUCUAAUUGCGAUCCUGCAGGAAACUCCAGCUGUUUUUUCAGCUCUACUCAGCUCAGUAAUGCAGUACUAACCGUGGAACUCUCCGGCACGACUUCAGGAUAUGUGGCGCUGGGACUCACACCCACUAGCAGCCAAACCCAGCAACUAAUUCAAGGAACUGCUGUGUUUGUCUGUGGCAACAAUAACAACAGCGCUUCUUCAAAACAGCUAUUCAGAAAGACCCAGCAUUGACUCCUGCUAACCUGACCGCCAUAAAUAUAACUAGUGUUCAGGGUUCAGUAACAAGAGACCAGAGUCUUAUUCAGUGUGUCUUCAACAUCACCCUCAAUUCCAUCCUCCUCAGUUCCAUCCUCAUCAAAGCAACUGUUCAGUUGUCUUUCAACAUCGCCAUCCUUAAUGGAAACACAAAUGGAACAGACCUGGGAAAUGCAGCUAUUGUAUUUAACUCCAAAGGAUCAUUAAACCUGGCAGACCCAAAGAGCAAUAUUCCAAAU